CCACCCACCCCCAGCUCCCUGCUGGCAGAGCUGACCCUUUCCUGCUCCCCAGGACAGUCUUGUGGCCAUCCAGGCUUUACUGGGAUGCUCACAGAUGGCCUGGCUUCUUUCUAAAGAAGCAUCAGUUGCUUUUAUCCCUGCCAGUGAGGUGAGAACUGCUGAGAUCAGCCCUGGUACAGCAGAGAGCACCUUCCUCCACCUCCUUCACUGGUGAGGGAGAGCCUGUUAGAUGGACUUCCAACCAAGCAACCAGCAGCCAAAGUGACACAUUCCAGAGGAUAAAUUUUAACAGAAACAGCACCAGAUUUGUGCUUAUUUUCUCAUUUUCAUACCAAACCCUGCAAAGACAGGGAUUUCAAUAACAAAACCAGCUCCUGGUUCCUUUUGUUGCCUACCUGCCUCUCCAGGGGGGAUGUGGAGUUCAAGUCCAUUCCAUGUGGCUGGAGAGAAGGAGAGUUUUGUUCAAGGUGCUGUUUUGCAGAGGAUAACCUACCUGUGAGGGGCUGGCAGGAAUAACCUCGCUGGAGAAAGGAGAAAGGGAUCCCCACAAUCUGGGGGUGGGUUGUUGCUCCUGAGCGCUUUUGUGGGCAGAGCAAGGACAAACCACACCGUGGGAGACUCAGCCCUGAAAAAGAAGAGAAAAUUAAUUUGUUUUAUGGUCAAAAUCCAAGAAAAUAUUGCCUUUUAUAUACCCUUGGAACUCUUCUAGAUCAAGUACCUUGUCAUCCUCUUAACAUACACACACACAGAGAGAAGAUAUCUGCUGAUUAAUAGCCUGGAUCCAUUUUAGUGGAUCCCUGGUCAGCUGUGCAAUAUGUAUUUCUACUCAAAACCAGAAUUUGACUCCUCUAAGCAACCUAUUUCCAUCA